UCCUACGGGAGGCAGCAGUAGGGAAUCUUCCGCAAUGGACGAAAGUCUGACGGAGCAACGCCGCGUGAGUGAUGAAGGCUUUCGGGUCGUAAAACUCUGUUGUUAGGGAAGAACAAGUGCUAGUUGAAUAAGCUGGCACCUUGACGGUACCUAACCAGAAAGCCACGGCUAACUACGUGCCAGCAGCCGCGGUAAUACGUAGGUGGCAAGCGUUAUCCGGAAUUAUUGGGCGUAAAGCGCGCGCAGGUGGUUUCUUAAGUCUGAUGUGAAAGCCCACGGCUCAACCGUGGAGGGUCAUUGGAAACUGGGAGACUUGAGUGCAGAAGAGGAAAGUGGAAUUCCAUGUGUAGCGGUGAAAUGCGUAGAGAUAUGGAGGAACACCAGUGGCGAAGGCGACUUUCUGGUCUGUAACUGACACUGAGGCGCGAAAGCGUGGGGAGCAAACAGGAUUAGAUACCCUGGUAGUCCACGCCGUAAACGAUGAGUGCUAAGUGUUAGAGGGUUUCCGCCCUUUAGUGCUGAAGUUAACGCAUUAAGCACUCCGCCUGGGGAGUACGGCCGCAAGGCUGAAACUCA
rnacentral:rRNA from 1 species